UGUGGGAGCGAGCCUGCUCGCGAUAGCGCCAGCCCAGUCAAUAUUUGCGGUGACUGACACACCGCUAUCGCGAGCAGGCUCGCUCCCACA
rnacentral:misc_RNA from 1 species